rnacentral:tRNA from 1 species
GGUAUAGCUCAGUUGGUAGAGUGCUUGCUUUGCAUGCACAAGGUCCUGGGUUCAAUCCCUAGCACCA